rnacentral:rRNA from 1 species
UACGGGGGGGGCAAGCGUUGUUCGGAAUUACUGGGCGUAAAGGGCUCGUAGGCGGCCAACUAAGUCCGACGUGAAAUCCCCAGGCUUAACCUGGGAACUGCGUCGGAUACUGGAUGGCUUGAAUCCGGGAGAGGGAUGCGGAAUUCCAGGUGUAGCGGUGAAAUGCGUAGAUAUCAGGAGGAACACCAGCGGCGAAGGCGGUGCUCUGGGCCGGAACUGACACUGAGGAGCGAAAGCGUGGGUAGCAAACAGG